AGUUUUCCAGUAUAUCUGACCCUUUUUCAUGUACACUUAAAGUUCUUCUGGAAUUUUUGGAGAACCCUCAAUGUAAUUCAACACUGUAUUUAAUCACAUGGGAACUGAGUCUCAGAGAGGGAAGAACACUCGUACAAGGUCACCUGGCUAAUUCAAGAGAGAGCCAGAGCCAGGAUCCAGGGCUCCCAGUGCCUAGAAUGGGGCUCCAUCCACUGAUUCUGAGGCAUCUGCAGAAUGUGUCAGCCUCCCAAGGGAAGAAUUACUCUCCCCGGAGAAGUCUGGGCUUCUCAAAAGGAAACUGUCCAGCCGUCCCCCCCAGAAGAUUCAUCUCAGACCUUGUCCUCCACCUGUUUUCUGUCUCUAAAUGUGAGGAACCACCAUUCACGUGGGCACUAUCAUCAGUGGCUUGGAGACCUUCCUGAGAGUCCUAAGAAAACCUUACUUGAUUGAGAUUUCUGGAGUCUGUUUGCUAAAAUGCUUUUCCACCUUGCUACAGUAUGGUGUGGACACCAUAGGAAUAGAAGCCAGCUGCCAUGCUGUCAGAAGCCCAAGCCACAUGGAGAGGCCACGUGUAGACAAUCCAGGUGCAGCCUCAACUGAGCUCUGAGCCAAGAGCCAACAAUAAAAGCAACCCAUGUGAGUGAGCUGUCAUGGACAUCCAGGCCAGUUGAGCCUUCAGAUGACUGUAGUCCCAGCCACCAUCUGACUAUAACCACAUGUGAAAAGUCCAAGCAAGAACCACCUGGAUGAACGCAGCCAAUGGAAGAACUCUGAGAGAUGCCAAAAAAUUGCUUUAAGCCGCUUAGUUUAGGGGUGAUUUGUUAUGCAAUCAUGGAUGGUCAGAAAUACGGUAAGGUCUCUGACUUCAUGGAAACAAUAUUUAGACAAAUGGAACAUAAGCAUAUCACACACAUUCCCUCUCCCACACAACUGUUAAUAAGGAGCCCCUUUGCUGGGAGCUUUCCCUCCUCUGCACAAAUCUGGACCCUGCUAGUUCUUGAGUCCAGCCUUCUUCUUAGUCUGCAGGGGUUUCCCUUCUUGUGAAU
rnacentral:lncRNA from 1 species